UACGGAGGGUGCAAACGUUGCUCGGAAUUAUUGGGCGUAAAGCGCACGUAGGCGGACCAUCAAGUCGGAUGUGAAAUCCCUCGGCUUAACCGAGGACGUGCAUUCGAUACUGAUGGCCUUGAGUACGAAAGAGGAUCGCGGAAUUCCCGGUGUAGAGGUGAAAUUCGUAGAUAUCGGGAGGAACACCAGUGGCGAAGGCGGCGAUCUGGGUCGAUACUGACGCUGAGGUGCGAAAGCGUGGGGAGCAAACGGG
rnacentral:rRNA from 1 species